UACAGAGGUCUCAAGCGUUGUUCGGAUUUAUUGGGCGUAAAGGGCGCGUAGGCGGCGGGGUAAGUCGGGUGUGAAAUCUCAGGGCUCAACCCUGAAACUGCACUUGAUACUGCUCUGCUUGAGGACUGGAGAGGAGACUGGAAUUCACGGUGUAGCAGUGAAAUGCGUAGAUAUCGUGAGGAAGACCAGUGGCCGAAGGCGGGUCUCUGGACAGUUCCGUGACGCUGAGGCGCGAAGGCCAGGGGAGCAAACAGGG
rnacentral:rRNA from 1 species